CCUCCCUCACGCGGCCUUUCGCGUGGUGUUGGGGCGAUCUGCGACCGGUCGCUGCAGCGAUGCGGCGUCCGGCGCAGCCCCUCAAAGCAAGUGGCGGGCCGGCAGCGGUCUCCGAGCGCAGUAAGCAUUUUUGCCUCUCGCCCUGGACGAUGCUGCCUGCGCCCUGCCCCCAAUGCAGACGCAAGUCUAUCUCAAAGG
rnacentral:misc_RNA from 1 species